rnacentral:lncRNA from 1 species
GUGAGAAUUCCAUACCCUCCUGUCUGUUGCUGGGCCUUUGGGUCUGGCUCUUGUCUCCUCUUGGGGAACUCCAGCAGAUGCCUCUGCUGCCUGUACCCACAGUGUCCCUGGGUUGUGGCCUUGUGUGAUGCAGGAUGCAGGGGUGGCGCCAGAACUGUCUCAUGCCUCACCCUUGCUGUCAUCCUGAGCAUCCUGAGUCUCCCCAGCUCAGGAGACCCUCAGGUCAUCACAGGAAGAAGGCGCAUGGAGCAGCAGAGCCAGGCUGAGCACCUGGACCCAGCAGUGACUGCAGUCCAAAACUGCACACCGGAUCUGGUUAGCGGGUCAUUAAGUGCCUUAUUUGUGCAAGCCAGCUGAUUCCCUUUCCAUCAACAGCCGAAGGACACUGAGGCAGCAAGUGACAGGGAAACGCAGAUCAAAACUCACACCUCACACCCACGGCCGUCUACAGCCAAGAGAAUGGAAGAUGGCGGGCGUCCGGGAGGCAGUGGAGAGCAGGAUGGGCACAUGCUGCGGUGGGAAUGAGACACGGAGCUGCCAGCGUGGAAAACAGCCUGGCGAUUCCUCAAAAGGGCACCACGGAAUUGCCUGUCACCCCACCAUCCUGCUUCUGGGAAUCCCGAAAAGAAGGGAGAGCUGUCACUCAGGGACAGUGGCUGCACAGGGUUGUGGAGACAUUGAAGAGCACCGAAAGCCAGGCGCCUGGCACAUGCCUGCCAUCCAGCCGCUCAGGGGCUGCAGUGAUGAAGCAUUUGUCAAGCACCAGUGAGGACCUGAGUCAGAGCCCCAGUGCCACAAAAUACAAAAAUAAAAUAAAUACAAAAUUUAAAAAUAUUUUUAAACGUUAAAAAAAUGUAAAAAUAAAGGAC